CCUACGGGUGGCUGCAGUGAGGAAUAUUGGUCAAUGGGCGCGAGCCUGAACCAGCCAAGUCGCGUGAGGGAAGACGGCCCUACGGGUUGUAAACCUCUUUUGCCGGGGAGCAACGGGCGCCACGUGUGGCGCCACUGAGAGUACCCGGAGAAAAAGCAUCGGCUAACUCCGUGCCAGCAGCCGCGGUAAUACGGAGGAUGCGAGCGUUAUCCGGAUUUAUUGGGUUUAAAGGGUGCGUAGGCGGAUUGAUAAGUUAGAGGUGAAAUGUCCGAGCUUAACUCGGGAACUGCCUCUAAUACUGUUGAUCUAGAGAGUAGAUGCGGUAGGCGGAAUGUAUGGUGUAGCGGUGAAAUGCUUAGAGAUCAUACAGAACACCGAUUGCGAAGGCAGCUUACCAAUCUAUAUCUGACGUUGAGGCACGAAAGCGUGGGGAGCAAACAGGAUUAGAUACCCCUGUAGUC
rnacentral:rRNA from 1 species